CUUCUAUUUACCUUUAUCACACGUGUGUAGUACCUGCUCAAUUAUGUAUAACGUAAGGCUCCCAGGAUCAGAUAUUUCAGGUGAUGAGAAUGAUAAUAGACGAAUUACAUGGGAAAACAAUCGGCGAUCACCAUAAGUAUUGGAGAACUUGGCAUUUGUAGAUUUAAGCCACUUGUUUAAAUGUAGGGAUACUGUAACUGUUGGUUUCACCUGGUUCUGAUGACUUUUAUUCUUUAGAUACAACAGUAACAGCUGUGUUUUACUAGGCUGUGAUGAUUUUGUGCUUCUGAUUCCCAUAACAAUUAUGCUAGUGUAGUGAUCAGAUUAAGCUCUAGCAGUCGAACAUUUUGAUUUUGGGAUGUAGCAUAGAUAUGUUGUUUGGCAAGUACAAGUUUCAUCACCUUUUCAAGCCGUUGCUGCUUUUCUUCUUUGAGAGAUUCUACCGUGCCUUUAAGUUUCUCUAAAAUGGAAUCGCUAAUGUUCUUUGAUCUUCCAAAUGGGUCGUCCAAGCUUGGAUGAAUCUUGGUGAUAAUCGUGGAAGCAUCCAUCCCCAACGUUGCAGACAAUUUGUGGACUGUGUCUAUAUAUUUCUCCACUCUCUGAAGCCUUUCAUUCUGUCCAAAGAAAAUCGAUAAGAAUCGUCGCAUCUCUCUCAGAGCUGGAGUUAUUGAAUCAAGCUGCUCUUUCAAAGUUCCCGCCAUCUUUUCUGGCUGAUCAGACUCGUCCAAUCAACACAUACAAUUGGGAAGAGAGCGUUCUCCAAGGGACAACAGAAGAUGGGUAAACUCAGCCUCGGCUUCUGCAAGUUCCUGAUGAAGUCUAGCUCGUGACACAUUUGCAUCAUCAACUUUUCUCCGAUUUUAUCUUAUCUUCUGGAAGAAGGCUGAAUGAAAGUGGGGCUGGAGAGAGGUUAGGGGAUACCAAGAGUGUGAAGGACUCAAUGAAUUGAUUGAUAAAGACAUUGGCGUUAGUGGCUUCAUAGCUUGAAGAACUUAGAAGAUAGAACUGAAACCAACGAAUUGGCCCCUAAAAGAUAUUGCUUCCUCAAUGGGUAUUGUUAAAAUAUUGAACAGGCUGAAUAUUCUUAAAAAUUUUCAGGUUCUUUCCAAUUUGAUCCCUAAUCUAUUUAAAAUUUCAAUUUUCCCCUAAUGUUCUGCUAAUUAUCAAUUUGGACUUCCAAAAA